CCCGCCUGUGGAGGGAGAUGCCUAUCAUUUCUGCUCCUGCUCCAGUCACCCCAGGUCACCACCCUCAAUCCAAACUCCAAGCCCUCCCCCAAAAAUGGAAGGAAGGCUGUUGUGAUGAGGAACCUACAAAUCAGUGGCCACCAAUCCAUACACAGGAAACCAAUUAAAUCCUUGGAGCUGGUAGGUACCCACUAUACCUACUUUUUGCACUGACACUAAACAGCCAGUAGCAGUCAAAAUAUUUAACUGCCUGUACCUAUGACCAGAAGAGAUGCUGGAAUACUCCAAGCAGCGCAGACACUGACCUACAGACCCCAGCUUUGGGGCCCUGGUGUUGGUAGCUUUUGACCAAGGCAUUCAGAAACAUUUUGUUAUUUCUUUUGUUUGGAAUUUUGCUGGUUUGAGACAAGGUCUCCCUGUGUUCCCCCAGGUUGACCUGGAACUCACAAUGGAUCCCACACAGUGAUCCUCCCGCCUCAACUUCCCGAGUACUGGUAUUAUAAGUGUUGACUCACCACACCCAGCUUACAAUAGAGUAUUCUAGAAACACUGUCUAGGCUGGUUUGCCCUGGCUGUACGGUAUUUCCUGGACCUGCAGAAUAAUGAGUACAUGGAGCUCAAAGAGGGUCCCAGGUCACCCAGCUUCAGAGUGGCAGAGCCAGGAUGUGGCCCAGGGCUGCACCAGCUCCAAGAAGCCGCCUGGGAGCAGCUUGGAAUGGUGGGGGCGUACAGCGCUGGAGGAGACUUCACCCCUGGGGACCCCAAUGGCUCAGCCCAGAGCCUGGCCAGACAGUCUGCCAGAGGCAGUGGAGCUGAAUUAAGUUGUUGGCAGGGAUGGCACCGGGGCCUGAACGUUUCUUGUCUUUAAGUUAAUUAUAUGCAAAUCCUAUGCAAAACAGAAAGUCAAUUGGCCUUGUUCAUUUUUACCCACUCUGAGUUCAGAGUAGGGGCUCUUUUUCUGCAAGGAAGUCAAUGAGCCCCUGUGAAACAGAAGGUGGGGGGCAGACAAGACUUUAAGGAGUGGGAGUUAGGUGGCGGGUAGGGAGGGCAAAGGGGAACAGAAGUUGAAAUAGUCUGGGAAUUAGAGAACCUCAAAGAAAAGGUCCAUGGGUCUUUGUCUACCUCCACCUCCUCAUGGUCAAAACAGACCAGGGUCCUAUGGGACAUCUCCAGGGGCCUGUCCAGUUUCCCAGGAGACUCUCCCAGCCUCCCCCCAACCCCUACAACUUCAACCUUCCUCCUGUGGCCCAGGCCUUCUCUCCAAGCCUGCCUGCCUGCUUCCUUCCAGCUGGCAGGCUGCCUGCUGGGAGCCUGUUGCCAUAGAAACCAGACCCAGAAGGAUGCUGCAGGACUCAGGAAAGAGAGAUGCGCUCGCUCGUGUGCAGUCUCCAACGAGCCCUAUGUCCCCACCCCCACCCAGAGAGAGGAAAAAAACCCAUAUUUCCGUUGCUUCCCAUAUGCCCUUCACCUUGGUAUCUGCCCUGGGCACCGUUCAUGUUCACUACUGGCCCAGGGCUACCUCCUAUCAGAUACCUCUGCUUUCAUUCAGGACAGCAAAAGGGAAGGAGGUACCCGGGACCAGGGAGCACACCUGAGUUCUAAUGCUGGCUUUGUCACUGUGCCUUAGGGAAGUUUUCCAUGCAGGCCAUCUAAUAUGUAUGAAGUUGCAUGUAAAAUACAGUCAAGUAGCCCCCAGUGGUGGUGUACACCUUUAACCCCAGCAACUCAGGAGGCAGAUGCAGGCAGGUAUCUGUGAGUUCCAGGACAGCCAGGACAAAGAACAAAUAGUCCGAUUUUAAAUGUACUAUAUAUAAAUACAUAUACAUGACAAAUACCAUAUACACACAUAUAAAACCAUAGGAAUGUGGUUUAAUGUCCCGUAGGAAUAGGACAAUCCUUGCCAAUGUAUUUCCUGUCUAAAUAUCUUGUGUAUGUUAAAAAUCUGGAGCUGAGCAAUCCCUGCCCAGACCAGUAUUCCUAAGGGUAAGCUCUUUUGGGUCAUCCCCUUGCUCAAAACCCUUCCCCAUGCCUCCCCACUACCAGCAGGGGAAAGCUCAAACUUGGUGUUAGCCCUGACCUGACUCUGGAUGCACCACAUCUUCAGCCUCCUCUCUGCUUUCUCCUUUGACCCCCCUAAAAUAGAUUACAUCCUGACCACCGACUUCUCUGAGUUCCCCUGCCUGAGAUGGCCUUUUUCAUUCUGGCUUCCUGACAUUCUCUGCUCAAGCCCCUGACUGCCCUCAAGAUCACUCGUCAGCUCUGCAGCCCCUCAGCAGUCCUCCUGCAUUUAGAACAACCCCACUAUUUUGAUUAGUCUCUCUUUCUGAUAACAGCCAGGUAUGGCUGGCUAUACUCUCUUGGUUCCCUAGGAAUACUUGUGCUUUUGAACUCCAGUUGGCCCUCUAGUUCCUUCUAAGCACCAGCGUUUGCCAACACUGGGGGUCACGAUAUGUUUUCCCAACAACUACAUUUCUGAAGAGGUACCAUCUCAACGUGUUUCCCUGCUGCCUGGGCUCUCCGCUCCCUGAUCUGCAAUAAAGGAACAAGCCACAGACUCCUGUCAUCAUGCCUGCCCCCAGUGACAGCCUGCACUCUCUGAAACUCCAACCCAAAGUAAAGUUUUCCUCCUUGAAGUUGCCUCUGGAAGGUCAUUCCCCAUUCAACACACUAUGCUCUUGGGCUCCACUGGUCUGACGCCUUCAUCUGACCUCUGGGAAGUCCUGAAAGGAUUCCACUCAUCGGACUCCACACUAUCUAGGACAGAAACACCAAAUACACUAGGCUUUGUGGGUCUAAGCCCCCCUCCUCAGGAAACCAUCUCAACCCAUAUAUCCCAAGGUAGGCUGAGGGAGCUGAGAAGCUACUGUGCUCGGUGAAGCAUGGCCCUCAGAUAUCAUCCCCAGCUAAAAGUGCACAGGACAGGCAGGAGCCAGCCAUCCUUGAGAACUAGGCAUUAGUGUGGGACCAGAUCAUAAUAAGAGAACAUUGCAUCUAAAACCCCAAGGACACCUGGACACUUCACAGGUAGGUGAACACAGUACAAUACAUAGCAAGAAUGACCCAGAGAGGAUAGGGAGGGGGCAGAGUCAGGAGAAACUGAGAUGGCUCAGUAGGUGAAAGUGUUUGCUGCCAAGCCAUAGAACCUGAGUUCAAACCCCCAGGUCCCGCAGAGUGUAAGAAGAGAAUCAACUCCUUCAAGUCCUCCUCUGGCAUUCCAUGGUGCAUAGGUUCACAUGCACGUGCAUAUGUGUGUGUAUACAUACAUAUAGAUAAAUGUAAUUUCAGAAAAAAACAAAACAACAAAAACCCCACUAAGCCAGGAGGAGUAUGUAAAGGCAGACAGAGGGGAGGAAGGCCUCCAGAAGCUUCCAGCAAGGGUAAGCAGCUGAUUGGAAACAAAGGUUAGCCAAGGCUCUGCUGGCCACAGCCAGAGCAGGUUCAGUGGGAUGUGGGAGCCAGUGUGGGCUGCAUCGGCUGCCAGGAGGUAGGGGAAACUAAUUAUAAAACAAGCUCAUCGAAGAUUGUCUCUGAGAAGCUGGCAGCAGUAAGAGGGAUGUCCAUCGAAGGAGGAGAGCUUGCUUUGUGGGGCUCUCUGUAGACAUCCUGGAGGGAAGGGGUUUGUGCAUCAGUGUUUUGCCUGCAUGUAGGUCUGUGUGGGGAUAUUGGAGCCCCUGGAGUUACAGACAAUUUUGAGCUUCCACAUGGGUGCUGGGAAUUGAACCUGGAAGAACAGUCAGUGCUCUUAACCACUGAGCCACCUCUCUAGCCCCAAGAGGUCCCUUUCUUAGUCCCUGGCAGGUAGACUACCUUCCAUGGCAAAGGGGGUUUUGUGGACUUGCCCAGGUUCAGGCUCCUGAGAUGAGAUGAGUAUCUUAGAUUAUCCGGAUUUGAUGAUAAGAGUCAACUGUCUGGGUUUCAGACUCACUCAGGACGAAUACCCCUGGGCACGCCAGUGAGGCCACUUCUGGAGGUGUCUCACUGAGGAAGGACAGUGCCAUCCUAAGCAAACUGAAAGCCGGUUAGGCAUCUUGUUAUUUUGGGCAUUCGUCUCUUGGCUUCCUGACUGUGGAUGCAGUGUGGCCAGUCGCCUCAGGCCCCUGCUGUCUGCCUUCCCUGCCUUAAAGGACCAUGUCCCCUAAUCACAGAGAACGCUUCCUUCCUUAAGUUGCUUUAAUAGAUACUUUAUAACAGCAACGAGAGGAGAGAGAUGUGCCAGAUGGGUGCAGAUUAAUCACAUGGGUCAUUUUAAAUAAGAGAGGAAGGGCAGGAAGGAGAUGGAGAAAGAAAACCGCAGGAAGGAGAUAAAUGGAGGUCUGGUAUAUGGCUCAGGGGAAGACUUCUUGCCUCACAUGCACACGUGUGAAGCUCGGGGUUCAGUCUCCAACAUCACAAAAAUAAAGAGGAGAAUAAACAGUAAAAAGCAUCAAAAUGGCUUCUUUCUUGAUCCUCUAGAAGGGACAUUGUAUUGCUAACACUUUGAUGUUAGCCCAGGUAAAUCUAGGAACAACUUCUGAGCCCCAGAAAUGUAGGAUAUCUAGAUAUAGGCACAGAUAGAUAUUAUAGGCAUUGUAGAUAUAAUAUAAAUUAUAUUAUAUAUUACAUUGCAUUAUAUAUAUAAUUUUAUCAUCACCUAUCAUGGCAGGGAUGGGGAACAAACACAAUGGGUAAAGAUAAAUCGAAUGACUCAGAGAAGAGAAACAGUCCAAGUUGGGGAGGAUAACAAUUAACAUUUUCUGAGCACUUAGUAUGUGCUAAAUUAAUCAGUAGUUCAGUGGGAGCGAAUUUACAAUCAGGCCAAGCAUCAGGGUGUCAGCACCAUCCCUACUCACAGAUGAGAAAAGCUACCCUUAACAGGCAAAGUGAUUUCCUGAGAUGGGACAGUGACCCAAUCCAUGCAGAGGCCACCUCAGGUCACUGCACCCCACCCCAGGCUACCCUAUACUUAGGAAGAGAGCAGCAAUCAGUUGCCUGACCAUGGAGGCAGGGCUGAUGGCUAAGAAGAGAGAAGAGGUACAAGCAAGGUAGGCGCUAGUGUGGACGUGGACACAAGUCCUGGAAGAUGGCUGCGGUCAUCACAAUGAAGUGUGUGAGGAAGCUACCUGCUGGGGAUUUUGGGGGGGGGGUCAGAAGAGGGAGGAGAGUGAGCUUUUGGGGCUGGGGGUGUCAGCUGGAGGGGUUAAAUCUGGGUGCUCUAGAGCCAGACUGCCCGGCUCCAAAGCCAGCUGGACGGCUGGAGCCUGUCAUCGUUUAAGUGAGAUUGACAGCAGUAGCAGCUCUAGGGUGCUGCGAGAUAAUGGAUGGGAAGAAGGGCCAGCACCUGGCCCGCCAUUGUGCGAGCCAUUGUGGAGAUGCAGGGAAGUUUGUGGCUCUCGCUGCUGCGGAGAAAAGGAGCCUGCGGAACACAAUAGCCCAGCGUAGUGCUGUGGGCCCCAGCUCGGGCAUUGUAGUCAUUAAUUAUUCUGAUUGCUGUUGAUCAUUUCCAUCUGUUCUCCCGCAGCCCUCGGAACAAAACCUCCUUUAUCCUCCCUGUCACAUGGCACCCGAGUCCGUUAUUUGCAUAUCCGUCUCUCUCACUAAAUAGAGCAGUUCCUCAAACAUCAAUGUUGGCUGGGCGGCUGAUGGGUUGGUUGGCUGCUAGGGUGUGGGGAGUACUAAUUAUCCCCAACGUCUAUUCUCCCUCUCUUCCUCAGUAACAGGAUCCCAUGAUUUUAAGCUGGACAGGUGGCCUCUUGGGAUAACAAUUCAUUUCCCAAGCUCCCUCAUCACUUACAUGGUGCGGCAAAGUUCUAGCCCAUGGGAUGUGAGCAGAACUAUUAUGUCCAACUUCUAGAAAGUGUUCUUCGAAACAAAGUGUUGGGCUGGGCAUGUAGUUCAGUGGGAGAGAACUUUGCCUAACGUGCACAAGGCCAUAAUAAGGAAAGUGUGGUUAAAAGUAGGGUAAAGGGCAGCAGGAUGGCUCGGUGGGUAAAGGAACCUGCACCAUGCCCAACCGUAGGAGUUCCGUCUCUGAGCCUCAUGCAGUGGAAGGAGAGAACCAACUCACAAGCCAUCCUCUAACCUACACACACACACACACACACACACACACACACACACACACACAGUGUGCGGGGAGGGGGAGGUUAUUAUAACCUUUUUGUUGUUGUUGCCUUCCUUCUCCUUAAUGACUAUAAUGUAGACUCAAUGACUAGACCUCAAGGGACUAUUUUAGAACAUGAGCUACCAUGUGGAGAAAGGAAUAUGCCAGAAACAGCCUGGGCUCUGACCCUGUGGAUACCUAAGCAAGUAAGCAAGCAAGCAACUUCUGCCUUAUGGAAGUCGCUGUCUUUCAUGGAUUUUCUAUAAUUCAUGCCCAAACCUAAUCCUAGAAAUAGUAUGAAUUUUCAAGGUCUUGAAAUGCAGAACUUACAUCCCCAUUUGGGUUUGGACUUUGAUAGUCAUGGCUGUGGUCUUCAGCAGCUGUAAGCACCAGGUAGGAACUGGCUUCUGCUGUCAUUUUCCACUCAUGUGGAACUGAAGCCUGGAAAUCGUUAUCAUGGCUACUUCAGGGAGUUGUCCCUUCUGUGGCUCUCUGGACAGAAAUUGGAUUACCCCAAGAGACAUAGUAUUCAGGGAACAUUCAGUACCCACAAACUGGCAAGGGUUUUGCCAGGAGUGUUUGGCAGCAGGAAGUCGGGGGUGGGAGAGGAGUGGGCAGGGGAGGGGGAAUGGGGACAUGUCAGCGCACCAGUCUCUGGAGAAGUAGCUCGUCUCUGAGAGAGCAGCCAAGACUUCAAGCCAGGAUGCAGCAAGACAGACUUAGACAUCACAGGGUCAGUUAAGAACCUCUCUGGACAGUCAUGAAGAAGAGUGAAAUUGUGACAUUUACAGGAGAGGGACAUCAUCAUGUUAAGCCAAAUAAAUCAGACUCGCAAAAUAAGUCAGACUCACAAAAUAGCUCUGUUUUUUUCAGAUGCAGAAUCUAGGGGUGUGUGUGUGUGUGUGUGUGUGUGUGUGUGUGUGUGUGUGACACAGAGAGAGGGAGACAGACAGACAGACAGACAGACAGACACAGAGAGACAGAAGCAGAGAGAGACAGAGACAGAGAGAUGGAGACAAGGGGGUAGAAGGGAAACUAUGUAGGGGAGAGGCAGGGGAGGGAUUUAAAGAAAGAAAAACAAGGAAAUAAGAAAGAAUAGUAGAAAUAAAAGGCAAAUAUCCCAAGCUGGGCAGCUAUGGUGGCACACACCUUUAGUCCCAAGUACAGGUAGAUGUAGGCAGAACUCUGUGAGUUCGAGGCCAGCCUAUUCUACAAAGUGAGUUCCAGGACAGCUAGGGCUACACAGAAAAACCCUGUCUCAAUGAACCAGAGAAAAAGAAAAAGGUGAAAUCCCACAUUCUCUCAUAUAUGGAACAUGAUUUAAAUAUAUACAUACACACAUGGAUACAUAUGACACAAAAUCAGAAUGGAGACAGUUUAGAAAAAGAAAAGGGACCAGGAUGAAGGACAAACGAGUGUAACGGGGGGUGGGGUGGGGUGGCUAAUACAGGCAAGGUAAAAUGCUAUACCAGUCUUAAAUUAGAAGAGAUCCACCUGCCUUUGCUUCAUGACACCAUAUUUCUAAACAUCUAAAACAACAACAAGAUCACCUUUUCUUUGGUCCCGUGGGUCUGAGGAAGGCUUUUCUGCAUACGCUGUACGUUUUUUUUUUUUUUUUUUUUUUUUGUAGUCCAGGAGGCUGGGGCUGGGAAAACAGGGGCAGUAGGAAAAGCUAAUUCUGUUUUCUGUGAGAGUCUCAGAUGACUCCGAGGCUAAGCCUCAAAGGGUCGGGGCGGGGGUGGGGGUCAGUCUCGCGCUGUUCAUCUCAGUAGCCUGGUACCUACACAGUACUUGACAAGUAAGUGUAACAAGGACCCCGUAAGCAGGUAAGCAGGGAUGAGGGGUAGAGGCGAUGGGACUGGAAAGUUCAGUCUCACUGAUGAUGGGCAUCUGAAAGCAUCCACAGACGAGCCUCAGAAAGAAGGGGCAGUACACCCGAACUCCACCCAAGCAGCUAACUCAGAGCACGCUGACAGGCACCGGCUUUACAUUUAUGAGUUUGUUCGCUCUGUGCAUGGGUGUGUGCCGCAGCGCAAAUAUGGAGAUCGUGAGAGAGCUUGCAGGAGUUGGUCCUCCCCUUCCAUCAUGGGUUCCAGGGACUAGGCUCGGGCUGUGAGAUUUGAUAGCAGGCAGCCCUCUCGCUGGCGAUGCCCUGCCGUUUUUUUAAAACCAAAGUACAGGCUAGCGAGCAGAAAAA